ACGCACGCGCAGUCCCUGCUCCCGCCCUCUGCGCAGGCGUGCUGCUUUUCCAUGUGUGCUCAGGCCGUCACAUUGGACCCGCUGAGGGGAGACGCCAAGUAACGUCGAGCCUGGAAGUCGCCACGGGCCCGGUGGGCCCCAACGACGGCUGCUGCAGUCGUCCUCUUCUGGUCUGUCACUGCAGCCUCCGUCGCCAUGGGUAAGAGUCGGACGAAGCGCUUCAAGCGACCUCAGUUCUCCCCUAUCGAGAGCUGUCAGGCCGAGGCGGCGGCCGCGUCGAACGGGACUGGGGACGAGGAGGACGAUGGGCCCGCGGCGGAGCUUCUGGAGAAGCUCCAGCACCCGAGCGCCGAGGUCCGCGAGUGCGCCUGCGCGGGACUGGCCCGGCUAGUGCAGCAGCGGCCCGCACUACCAGACUUAGCCCGUCGGGAUGCUGUGCGCCGGCUCGGGCCGCUGCUGCUGGACUCGAGUCUGGCGGUAAGGGAGACGGCGGCCGGAGCUCUGAGAAACCUCAGUGCUUGUGGAGGUUUUGACGUUUGUGAUGACAUGGUGGCAAAGGACAUCAUGACGCCCCUGGUGGCACUACUGAGAGAGUGUCUCUCUGGACUGGAUUCAAAUGAGAUGUCUCCACAGGAGAAAGCUGAUAAGAGAAAUCCUGUAGAGAGCAUAGCCAAUGAGGCUGUGAAUGUGCUGUGGAAUGUGUGUGAAUGCAGUGGCAGAGCAGUGUCUAUAUUCAACAAAGAAGGGUGUUUGGAGAUUGUGUUACAGUACUUACGUAGGUUCCCCACCAGUAUUGACCUGGCUGUCUCCGUAGCGUAUUGUUUACAGACAGUGACGGAAGAUAACCCAGAGCUCCUGAAAUCUUUUGAUGGCACAGCACUACGUGUGCUGGAGUCUGCUUUGCUUUGUCCUGUCGCCUCUAUGGAAUACAUUCUUUUAAAGACACUGGUGGCAGGCACCAUCUGGAACCUAAAGGACAUUAUUCCAUCUAAGAGUCAGGCAGAAAUCAUUAAUGCCAUCCUAGGUGCCUUGUCUGAAGUUCUGGGUAUGAAUACUGGCAACAUGGUCAUUCAGAUGAAGGAAGCUGAAACCCAGCGGCUAAAGACUGCCGCAGAGAGUGAGGACAUCCUAGCAAAUGCUAACGGUGAUGACUUGGUUGAAGAUGAUGAAAUGGAAGAAAUCCCUCAUAAAAGAAAACUCAGAAGGAAAACAUUUAUUUCCGAUUUACUUCCACCUACUGACAAGGAGCUGCGAGAGGCCAUGGCGUUGCUGACAGCUCAGCAGACUGCUCUGGAAGUUAUUGUCAACAUGUGCUGCAGUGAAGAUCCCUCGGAUGAUGAGUGGGAAGAACUGUCUAGUAGUGAUGAAAGUGAAGCCUUUAUGGAAAACUCCUUCAGUGAGUGCAGUGGGCACCUGAUGUCCCCAUUGUGCCUGUCCCACGAGAUUCACUCUGCCCUUACCAACUGCCUCAUUCCAGAGAAGGUUUUUGAGAAAACAUCUUCACCAAACAGUGUUGCAGUUGACAUAUGUUCUAAGAACCCUACUUGGAAACCUUUGAUUAGGAAAAUGAACACUAUUCAGUGUAGAGCCCUUAUGUGUCUCCAGAGUCUUGUGUCUCUCCUGGACAUAGACCAUCUCGGUGGAGCCCCUGCUCUCCAGACUCUUGCUCAGCACCUGUCACAGAUUCUUUUUUCUCAGCCAGUGUAUGACCCCUGAGCAGCUGAUGACGCUGUGCAGAGAAGGCAUUCAUAGCAGUAGCAUUGGGGUUCGAGUGAAUGUGGUCAGUAUUUUGGGGAUCACUGGGAGCGUCCUAGCCAAAGACGACGGCACACUUGACACUCUGAAGACCAUUGGGUGCUUUCUGCUGGAAGUCGCCACCAAAGACCCUUCCCUUGUGGUAACAGGCGAGGCUCUGGAUGCCCUCUUCGAUGUUUUUGCAGAUGGCGAAGCAGCUGAAAAGGCUUCAGUUCAAAUUAAAUUGUUAGCGGCUUUGAAAGAAUUCCAACCAGUCUUCAAAAUGAAGAUACGGAAAGAAGGGAGGGGCAAGUACAGUCCAGACCAGCUGUGUGUUCUCGACAAUGUGAAGAUGAAUUUGAGACGGUUUAUUGCUUACCAGGAAACUGUUGAGAAAAGACUGACUUCUUAAACCAUCAAGAGGACCAGAGCUAGGGCUGGCUGAGCAUCUGCGUGCCUAGCUGGCACAACAGCCCUGGGUCUAUCCCUAGUUCCUGAGGAAAAAGGAGUAAGAGAAGCUGCUUCUCCUGAUGGAUUUAGUGCUGAGAAUACUGAAGGGUUUCCCUUGAAUAUAUGUGCUUCCAAAGCCUUUUUUUCUUUUUUGAGACAGGUUCUCUCUAGGUAGCCCCUCCUGGCCUGGAGCUCACAGAGGUCUACCUGCCUCAGUUUUCUGAUUGCUGGGCUUUAAGGUAUUCAACACCACACCUGACCUCCAAAAGCCUUCUUUCACUGCCUCUGUUCUCCGUGUUAGUUUGAAUGUGAGAACCUGUAGGAAAUGUGUGUUACAUCUCCAACAUAUUUUAGCCACUGAAAAUGCCCCACAUUUCAGGUGCUAGGGUCGGCAUUCAGGGCCUUGCUCCUGUGUCGUGAGCUCUACCACUAACUCCACCCCAGCCCUCAGGUGGUUCUUAAUGGAAGGGCAGUAAAGAGACUUCAAACAAGUACGUCCUUACAUUUUUUUUUUUUAAGAAAAGAAAUUAAAUCAUUGUUGGGAUGUUUUUUUAAAGCCAAUAAAUAUCAUUUUAUAUUAGCUAACUCCUAACAGAAAUGUAAAGAUAAGCUUUAUAAAAUAUUUUUGUCAUGAAGUACUAUAUACCAAUGAUGAAUCUUUUGUGAAGUAAAUGACUUGAAUUUGUCACUGUGUAGAUAGUGAGAUGAUUGAAUUCUGUAUAGGGGUCUGAGCAGUUACUCUGGGUAACAGCAUUUCCUGUCUUAAUUUGAUACAGAAUCAGAAAUUAGUAGAAAAUGCUGGACAUGGUGGUGCACACCUUUAAUCCCAGAUCUUCAGAGGCAGAGGCAGGAGGAUCUCUUGAGUUCAAGGCCAACCUGGACUACAGAUGGAGCACCAGGAUAGCCAGAGAGACCCUGUCUCAAAAAAAAAAAGAAAGAAAGAAAAGAAAAGAAAAGAAAAGAAAAAAUUAGUAGAAAAUAUUUUUGAAUAAAUAACUUUUAACUGGAUGUUUUGUGUCAUACAGAUUAUUUUUUAUAGCCUAAGUAUCCGCCUUCCUAGGCAGUUUGCUUCGUGUCAGAGCUUACAAAGGAAAGCAGCAUGACUUUCUUGAUGACCUCUCCUUACUGUAAAAAAGGAGGGUACCAGAUAGGGCUCAUGCUGGGACUGUAGUCCACAUUGUCUGGGGACGCCCUGGGCUGCUCCCGAAUCCAUCCCUCUGCCUGGCCAGAGUGAUCAGAAGCAAGCUCAAAGCACAAAGUAGGCUGUAAUUUCCCCUAGAUCUGUAGCUGCAUGGACCACUUACUAGGAUUCAUUCAUGUGCACUGUGGCCUAGUGAGCAGUUUUCCCUGUGCAGAGCAGGCUGUUAGGAAGCCAGGAUUAUUUAUCAGCUCUGAGGAGUCACUGAGAUGGUGAAAGCAGAGAUAGUGAGGUUUUCUGGUGGGGUGGGAAAUGGAGAUGCUCUGCCUUGCACAGCAGGCUUUCUUUAUUCUCCUGGGUGAGGAGCUGGAUGGCUGUGCGUGACCACUGCGGCCAAGUGUUUGACCCAAGUGUUUUUUUAAAAGGGUUUUUUUUUUCUAGAGUGGAACUUUAUACGUGAGUUCAAGGCCAGUCUAAGCUAAAGAGUAAAUUCAAGAUUAGUUUCACAGAUAGUCUGCCUCAAGUGUUUGUCUUACCUGUUUGAAAGAGAGUAGUAGCCGGGCGUGGUGGCAACCGCCUUUAAUCCCAGCACUUGGGAGGCAGAGGCAGGCGGAUUUCUGAGUUCAAGACCAGCCUGGUUUACAAAGUGAGUUCCAGGACAGCCAGGGCUACACAGAGAAACCCUGUCUUGAAACCCCACCCACCCACCCCACCCCCCAAAAAAGAAAGAGAGUAGUGUUUCUGAUUCUGUUCUUUCCCAUGCCAUGCUUCCUAGACUUAGAACAAAGCAGACAGACAGUCAAGUUCAGGGCACACCAUGGUGUUUGGUGGGUGGGUGGGUGGGUGAGUGAGAGAGUUUGUUUUAUUUAAGCUGUAAGGUGGUUUGGUCACGCUGCAGUCCAGCGCACAGUCGGGUGGUGCACUGAAAAUGUGCAUGCUACAGCCUUCUAGGCUUUAAGGCAUGGGUGGUUCCACCUCAGCUGCUCCCGUUCAGCUUCGUCGCUGUAGCAGCAGGGAAGUGAAAAAGCCCUGGAUACACUCCCCAGUUGUAACUUACACAAAAGCUAUGGAGUUUGUGCCAGGGUUGUCCGUGGGUAAGUGUCAUAGAGAAAUCUUUAGAAGGGACGAAGGCACAUGCCUGUAAUCCUAGCACUCAGGAAACUAAUGCCAGAAGAUGGCGGGUUGAAAGCCUGUUUGGGCUACAUAGCUAGACACAUCAAAAAAAGAAAACCCAUAAAGUAAUUUAUUUGAAAAUCUUCUGGAAGCCAGGAGUGGAGGCAUAUACCUUUGAUUCCACACUCAGGAGGCAGGUGCAGGCAGAUCUCUGAGUUAAAGGCUAACCUGGUCUAGAUAACAAGUUCCAGGGACAGCCAAGGCUACAUAGAGAAACCCUAAGUCAACAAAAAGAAAAAAGAUCAAGAAUUGUACCCCACAACUACAAACUAUUUAAAGUGUUAGAGUACAAAGCUAUAUGAGAUUAUUCAUUUUCUAAGUUUUUUAUUGUUGUUGUUGUUGUUGUUUGGUUUGGUUGUUUUUUGAGAUAGGAUUUCAUUUAGCCCAAGCUAGUAUCAAAUGUAUUUUGUAGCUGGGGCUGGUUUUCAGCUGUUGAUCCAUCUUCCACCUCAUAAGUAUUGAACUGGUUUUAGGGUUUUUUUGGUUGGUUGGUUGAUUGAUUUUUUUUCAUUUGUGCUUGCAUGUGUGUACAUGACUAGAUCCUGUGGCACUAGUGUUACAGGCAGUCAAGAGCUACCUAAUGUGGGGGUGUGGUCUGAACUCGGGUCCUUUAGGAUUUUAAAGUCUUCGUACUUUUUCAUGACACUUAGUGUCUUAGUUAGGAUUGCUAUUGCUGUAAAUAGACUGCAGCCACAGCAUCUAUUAUAAAGAAAAAUAUUGGGCUGGAGAGAUGGCUCAGCAGGUAAAAGCACUGACUGCUCUUCCAGAGGUCCUGAGUUCAAAUCCCAGCAACCACAUGGGAGCCCACAACCAUCUGUAAUGAGAUCUGAUGCCCUCUUCUGGUGUGUCUGAAGACAGCAACAGUGUACUCACAUUCAUAAAAUAAAUAAGUCUUAAAAAAAAAAAGAGAGAGAGAAAGGAUAGCAAGUUUAAAAAAGAAAGAAAGGAAGGAAGGAAGAAAAGGAAGAAAAAUCUUUAGAAUUGGGCUGGCUUACAGUUCAGAGGUUUAGUCCAUUGUUGGCAUGGUGGGAACCAUGGCAACAUCCAGGCACACAAGGUGCUGGACAGGUCUGAGAGUUCCACAUCCAGAUCCAGAGGCAGCAGGAAGAGAGUAAGUAAGCCACUAGGCCUGAGUUGAGCUUCUGAAACCUCAAAGCUCACCCUCUGUGACACAUCUCCUUCAUAUAAUGUCACUCUCUGUGAUUCCAUAGGGGCCAUUGGGACUACAUAAAAGGCUGGGCAGACAUGGCAGUCUGGUAAUCGUUGUAAUCAGUCCCUGGAAGUCUUAUCAGACAUAGCAGAUGUGCCAUGAUGGUAAUGGACUGAACCUCUGAACUGCAAGCCAGUCCCAGUUAAAUGUUGUCCUUUAGAAAUGUUGCCAUGAUCAUGAUGUCUCUUCAUAGCAAUGGAAGCCCUAAGAAGUUUGUGCCAGGAACUGGGGUAUUGCUGUUGAUAGGCCUGACUAUGCUUUUGUUUGGAGGAAUAAGGAACCUUUGGGACUUUCGACUAGAAAAGCAAAUGGACAUUUUAAGCAGGGCUUAUGGGCCAUCCAGCAGCAAGGAAGACAGUGGUGCUGAGGGUGAUUUGAACUGUAGGGGCCUGGUCCGUGAGGUUUCAGAGAAGAAUUUUAGUGUGUUGCCUUGGCUGUGGUGUAUCUUCAAAGCAAUAGAACGGUGUCUAAAACAGCAAUAAACAAUC